rnacentral:lncRNA from 1 species
CUAUAAAUUAUUUUCCAAUAUUAAAUCCAAAUAUAAAUCCUAAUCCCAAAUAGAAUGAAACAAAAUAAAUAACAUAGUACAUAUUUAUGAAAUUCUGAAAUGUCUAUGAUUGCAUAGAAAAAGUUAAUGUUGAUCCCAAUCAUCCUCUCUUACCUUCUAAAAACUAAACCCUAAAUUCUAAUCACUAAACCCUAACCCAAAUAUAAACACUAAACUCAAAUAUCAAAAUCUAAAAAAUACAUAAUGUUAUGUAAUAUUCAAUUAUAUUAUGUUAUAUUAAAUUAUAUUAUGUAACAUGCCAAUUAUAUAUCACCAAAAUUAAAACACAUGAUAUGAAAGUUCAGAAGUGUUCUAUUCCAUAUCACCGAAAUAGUAUAUAACACCAACCCCAUAUCAGCUCCUCAAUAAUAAACCAUAUUUAAAACUUCAUCACAAACCCCUUAAUACUUAACAUUAAACCAUAAUCACUACACUCUAAACUCAAAUAUAAACCCUACACCCAAAUAUAAACCAUAAACCCAAAUAUUAAAAAUAUGUAAAGUUAUUAAUUUUCUUUAAAUCAUAAACCUAAC